GACCGAAAGAUAACGGCGAUUACCGAGGGAGAUACGAUGAUGUCGCCGCAAUGACUGCCGCGCGGCUCGACUGCGCAGCAAGUUCAGCUGAUGAGUUGUGACGCGCGUGGCGCAAACGCCUGUUCGGCUCGUGCGGAUUUCCAUCGGACGUACGUACCGCUUGUAACAUGCUUGUGACAUAUUUGUCUGAAAUGGACAGCCCGCGAUAUGUCCUGUCUGAAAUGUCAAGGUGUUGCAAGGUUGUUUCUGGCUCCUUCAGGGACGUCCACGCCAAUACAGGUUGCUGUACUUCGAAUGAAGAUUUCAGACAAGUCGCUAAUCAGCGCCAUGCCCUAGAGCACUGCUCACCUUUUUCGACGCUGGACUUGGGUCCUCAGUCCUCACCAUGAAGCUUAUCAUUACGCCUUCCCCAAAUUACAGCGACCAAUGGAGUACAGUACAACAACAAGAAGCGAUGAUACACUUCUACCCAAUACUAUUAUUAAAAUAGAGUUGUCGUUCA